rnacentral:rRNA from 1 species
GACGUAGGUGGCGAACGUUAUCCGGAAUUAUUGGGCGUAAAGGGUGCGUAGAUGGCCUGAUAAGUUAUCAGUGGUAAAUCGAGGCUCAACCUCGCGGAAACUGGUAAUACUGUCAGGCCUGAGUGCAGGAGAGGUUAAUGGAAUUCCCUGUGGAGCGGUAAAAUGCGUUAGAUAUAGGGAGGAACACCAAUAACGGCGAAGGCAAUUAACUAUCCUGUUACUGACAUUGAGGCACGAAAGCGUGGGGAGCAAAACGG